rnacentral:rRNA from 1 species
AUGAGCGACAUGUUGCCGCCGGCGGCGGCGCCGCCGCUCGACGACGAGAACCUACUCACCGAGAUCCUCCUCCGCCUCCCGCCGCUCCCGUCCUCCCUCCCGCGCGCAUCCCUCGUCUGCAAGCGCUGGCGCAGCCUCACCUCCGACCCAGCCUUCGCCCGCCGCUUCCGCCUCCACCACCGCCGAAACCCUCCCCUCCUCGGUUACUUCCACGGAGUUUUUGACGGGCUCCCCUUCGAACCUGUCCGCUUCGAGCCUACUCUGGAGGCCCCCAAUCGCGUUCCGCCCGGGCGCCUCUCCUUGCAGCUUGACUCCAACCUCCGUGUACUCGGGUGCCGCCAUGGCCUCGUGUUAAUCUUGGACUGGCCCCAGCUCCUGGUGUGGGACCCCUUCGCCGGCCACCAGCACCGCCUAGCCUAUCCCCCGGGGUUCGAUCCGGACAAGUCCAACGGGGCGGUGCUCCGCUCUGCUGCCGGUGCCGGCGAGGUUCACUUCCAGUUCCAGGUCGUCGUGUCAGAUUAUUACGAGACCUGUGUUUACUCGUCAGAGACUGGGGCGUGGGGUUCUCUAAUCUCAACCCCAACUCCAUCCGGGAACUCCCCUGACAGUGACACCAGGGUUCGGGAACUCCAAUUAUGGAAGAGGAAGACCGGUUUCGAUGGCGUUGCAUCAUGGGAGAUGGGAAGAACUGUUGAACUGGGCAAGCUUUUCUCUAUGGAUUCACAUGAUUUCUUGACCAUACAAGGGUACGCCCAGGACAAUAAUUUGGUGUUCCUGUGGACCGGUAGGAGCGUCUUCAUGGUCAAGCUUGAGCCAUUUCAGUGCGAGAAACUUUUAGACACCAACAAGUGGGAUCGUUAUUAUCCAUUUGAAACCGUCUAUGCUACAGGUACCUAG